UACGAACUGUGCGAACGUUAUUCGGAAUCACUGGGCUUACAGGGUGCGUAGGCGGCUUAGCAAGUCAGGUGUGAAAGCCCCCGGCUCAACCGGGGAACUGCGCUUGAAACUGCUGAGCUCGAGUCAGCUAGAGGUACACGGAACUUCCAGUGGAGCGGUGAAAUGUGUUGAUAUUGGAAGGAACACCGGAGGCGUAAGCGGUGUACUGGGGCUGGUCUGACGCUGAGGCACGAAAGCCAGGGGAGCGAACGGG
rnacentral:rRNA from 1 species